UGAGCAAUCUGCCCUUCUCUUCGGAAUAAGCGUUGGAAACGACGUCUAAUGCCGAAUACGACCUCCUUUCGCAUGAUCGGAGGUGGAAAGCUCCGGCGGAGAAGGAUGAGCUCGCGGCCUAUCAGCUAGUUGGUGUGGGUAAUGGCCCACAAGGCGACGACGGGUAGCCGUCUGAGAGGGUGACCGGCCACACGUGGGACUGAGACACGGCCCAGACCUCCGUACGGGUG
rnacentral:rRNA from 1 species